GACGAACGCUGGCGGCGUGCCUAAUACAUGCAAGUAGAACGCAGUUGCGAACGGGUGAGUAACGCGUAGGUAACUGCCUGGUAGCGGGGGAUAACUAUUGGAAACGAUAGCUAAUACCGCAUACUACCAGAUGGACCUGCGUUGUAUUAGCUAGGUGGUGAGGUAACGGCACACCAAGGCAAAGAUACAUAGCCGGCCUGGGAGGGUGAUCGGCCAAACUGGGACUGGGAAACGGCCCAGGACCCUACGGGAGGCAGCAGUUGGGAAUCAUCGGCAAUGGGGGGAACCCUGACCGAGCAACGCCGCGGGAGUGAAGGAGGGUUUCGGAUCGUAAAGCUCUGUUGUUAAGGGAGCGGUACUUAACCAGAAAGGGCCGGCUAACUACGUGCCAGCCGCCGCGGUAAUUC
rnacentral:rRNA from 1 species